GCGCUGGGGGCCGCGCGGGCGGCGCUGAGUGCCGGGCGGCCGGUACUGGUGCAAGUGCCGCGCCGCGGCUACGUUCCCGCGCUGGCGUGC
rnacentral:tRNA from 1 species